rnacentral:rRNA from 1 species
CCAUUGGUCUGUUGGGGUCCGGGUCGGCAUGGAGGUGACGUGGAAGGUUGGGUGGGUGCCGUCGAAGGUACCGCUCCCUGCUUGGGAGGCGGCGGCGGCACCUGCAGCGGCUGCCGCUGAGUGGGAGGAGGUCGGGUUGGGAGUGCGCGGAUGCCCUUCGUGAGCGGCGGGAGAGGCUCCGCAAGCUCAGGCCGCUGUGGCGGAGGAGGCUGCGUCGGCGACGGCGGCAGCGGCUCUAGGAGUCGGGCAGGCUACGGCUGCGCAGGCGGCGCGAGAGGCUCGUCUACGAGGCGCUCCAGGUGCGCAAGGAGAGCGCGGGCAGGAGCUUAGUCUACCGGUAACUGCGCGACAGAGAUCUCGAAGGGUUCGGUCACCGCUUCGACCCACGAGCCUACCCCUUAACGGCCCUGUAACGGUCUCGUUAGUAACUCAAGAAACGUAGCUUAACGUCGGGUUCCCUGUACGAGACGUAGGAGACGCUCCGUAAUCUAUGUGGUCACCGUAAAUUACCUAGUCGUAUGGAACAAUAAGAUGAUCUACCCGAACGGUCGUGCGAAUGAAACUAAGUCUCCUCUGUAUAACUCGUUCAUUUCCAGCAUGAAGGACGGUAGGAAGCUCAAUACGUACGAUUAAAUAGUCUUAUACUACCCCUUGUAUCUUACUCAUGACAACUAGACAAGUCACGUCGGGAGGCAUAACCGUUACGAUAUGUUCUUUACACGUUUUGUUACCAUUUGGUGUCCUUCCUUCUCAAUACAAGAUAUGAACCAGAUAUGCGGGAAGUUUUGUAUCGAGAAAACGUCCGAGAACAUAGUAGUCUUUCGUUUGUAGUCUUAUAAGAUAGAUGAACACCAAGUCAACAAGAAGUUAUAAGAUUUAAAGAAUACAAAACGCCGAAGUGGAUAAACCCAGAAAAUUGACCAUUACUACACUGGAGUUGGUGGUGAUUCGAAAGAUUUCUUCUCCUGCUGUUAAAAGACCUGACGAAAAGAAGACGAUACCUGCCACGUUCAGAACAUCAACACACCUGUAGAUACGUGCUACUGUACAGUUUUAUACGACCUCGUCUCAAACUUAGUCGAGACUUUCUUCAAGUUCUGUUAACAUAAUCCUUUACCCUUCGUUAAUUGUACAAAUCUAUGCAGAACAGAAGUCAAUUAAUGAGUACCCGUUAGUUUAGAGUGUCAGACCUGAAUAACAACUGAGAUCAACUACUAUUCACAUCACUCCUUUGGUUGCUAGUACAUCUAAAGGGCAUAAGGUGAGUUUAAAAACGGUGUGAGUUCCGGUAACUUUCUCAGUACUAUCGACGGGGUCUAUGUAACUACGCCUUCUUUCGGAAAAGACGGGACUUUUCCCAAUAAAGUCGCCACGGUAGGUGAGUCUCUAAACUAUAGAAUGUCCGGGAGUAGCUCUUAUCAUACAAGGGGAGGAACUGACGUUAAGAAAAUCUAGACCACUUCUUACUUCAAAGCUCUCUCUCGGCAGCUCGACUAGUCCAAUUACCUAGACUAGCUAGUGUUCUACGACCCCUUAGUGGUGGAACCCGAAGAGUCCACGAACUCAAUCACCUCGACUAGAACUCCGGAGGUCUUCCACCAGGAGGAACAGAAGCACUAGUGUCACUUCUCCAUAAUAGACGAGACUUGAACGAGUCUAACUAAGACUAUUAUCUAAGUUCUCCUAGGUCUAGUCGGUUUUACAACGCCCUACUUUUUUAUGCUCGGCACAUGAGUCUCACCGACUAGGGUGAUUCUAAUUAAUAAUGUCCCUAAGUUAGCCUUGAGCUCUUUCCGCCGCCACUCCUACUUUUAGUCUACAACACGAACAAUUUAGGACAAGUUAAGCAUGAAGUGGCGACGUAACUCGACCACCUCCUUUUUUUUACUUCCCAAACAUUACGAGCUCGUCACAACGGAACCGGUCCUUUACACUUUAAAGUGAGUAGUCAUAAGACUUAGGUAAAGGAGGUAAUAAAUACGGCAUAUCUGUAGGAGACGACGCUCAUAUACAUUUAGGAGUUACUUUACAACCUGAUAUACACCAACAAAGUAGGGUCAGUGACACAUACCCGGAGCACGUCAUCUUUUAUAGUGAUAAGAGAAAAAAAUCACGUUUAUAGUGAUAAAAGCUACG